UACGGAGGGUGCAAGCGUUAUCCGGAUUCACUGGGCGUAAAGGGUGCGCAGGUGGCCAGGUGUGUGAGGCGUGAAAGCCCGGGGCUUAACCCCGGAAUUGCACCUCAAACUACUUGGCUAGAGCAUUGGAGAGGGGAGCAGAAUUCAUGGUGUAGCAGUGAAAUGCGUAGAUAUCAUGAGGAAUACCAGAGGCGAAGGCGGCUCCCUGGACAAUUGCUGACACUCAGGCACGAAAGCGUGGGGAGCAAAAGGG
rnacentral:rRNA from 1 species